UGGGGAAUAUUGCACAAUGGGCGCAAGCCUGAUGCAGCCAUGCCGCGUGUAUGAAGAAGGCCUUCGGGUUGUAAAGUACUUUCAGCGGGGAGGAAGGCGAUAAGGUUAAUAACCUUGUCGAUUGACGUUACCCGCAGAAGAAGCACCGGCUAACUCCGUGCCAGCAGCCGCGGUAAUACGGAGGGUGCAAGCGUUAAUCGGAAUUACUGGGCGUAAAGCGCACGCAGGCGGUCUGUCAAGUCGGAUGUGAAAUCCCCGGGCUCAACCUGGGAACUGCAUUCGAAACUGGCAGGCUAGAGUCUUGUAGAGGGGGGUAGAAUUCCAGGUGUAGCGGUGAAAUGCGUAGAGAUCUGGAGGAAUACCGGUGGCGAAGGCGGCCCCCUGGACAAAGACCGACGCUCAGGUGCGAAAGCGUGGGGAGCAAACA
rnacentral:rRNA from 1 species